rnacentral:lncRNA from 1 species
GGGAGACAUGAUGAAGCUGAUUACUGUCAAAGGCCAUUAUAUCAUUUUAGAGUUAAUUAAUGCACCUGCAGCCUGGAGUGUAGCCUCAAACAGCGUAGCAGUCGAAUGAUGUGCACGGUGGCUCCGUGGGACCAGCCGCAUGUGCUUACUCUACCUGGUUUACCUGCUCCAGGAGAGCAGGCCGUCGGCGGCCGUCCAGUCGCGUCCCAUCCGUCACAUCCAGACCGGCGCCGCCGCCGGGUUCCAAGCCGGGUCACUGUGAGUUACGCGUGGAGGACGUGCGUGCUCCCGGCGCAUGCAGCCAUUUGCUCCAUCUCCUUCAGCCCGAUCUGACCAGCCGUGCACGCUGACUCUACCUGUGUUCAUCUCCUGGUCUACCUGCUCCAGGAGAGCGGGCUGUCAGCAGCGGAGCGGCCACUCCACAUCACUUCUGUCAGGACCGAAAAACUGGAUACUCUCAUGGGAUCACAGAAGCGUGUCUAAUUCAACAACUAGCAAGCGCUUCAUCAGAUUCAACUGAAAUACAGACAUAGUCACUAAAUACAAACCUUGUGCUGCAUGAAGUCCAGCAUUUUUUUAUACAAGUGACGCAACACAUAACUUGGACUGUGGCCUUGAAACAAACAAUAUACAGUAAUAACAUCAAAUGAUGUUUACUAGUUCGUCCUUUUCCACCGACUGUGCUCCUUUGUGCAAGAUGCUGGUCCUGCAGUACAGUGAAAUGCAUUAAUGGCAUCAAAGAAGAACUAUUCCGCUGCUCAGUCCUUAAUCUAAGACCAGCCACCAGACUUCUACCUUACUGAUCCCUCAUUCAUGUUUAAGGACUAAUUCUAAGCCAAAGCUCCAAGUUAAAGCAAAAAACAGAGCAACUAUUUGACAAAAACUAUGUGAGGUCUAUCACUCUGCUCGUAUAUUCUCCCCUCCUGCCCGUCUUUCACAUGCUAAGGGGGACAAUCAUUACCAGACGCUACAAAGGCCACCUAUUUAAGGCUAGCUUUUAUUAAAGGCUAAUUCAUAGCACACGGAAAGGGGAGACUCAAAAAUGAAAGAAAACUGAGGUAGACGAAAACAAAAGCCAAGACAGAUUCUGAGAAAACAUAGAGCAGAGAAAGGCAGAGACGGAAAGAGUGAGACAAAUAUGAAGAAAGGGCCGGGGAAGAGGUGCCUCCUUUGGGGUGCACUGGGCUGUGAGACAGGUCCAUUCACUCCCAUCUAAACACUGUGUCCCACUGUGUGUCACCCAGGCAGCCAACACUGCGGCCGCAGAGCUGGAGUUAACCAGUCAACUCCAUUACAGUGCAGGGGGCGUGUAC